rnacentral:rRNA from 1 species
UACGUAGGGUGCAAGCGUUGUCCGGAAUUAUUGGGCGUAAAGAGCUCGUAGGCGGUCUGUCGCGUCUGCUGUGAAAACUCGGGGCUUAACCCCGGGCCUGCAGUGGGUACGGGCAGACUAGAGUGCGGUAGGGGAGACUGGAAUUCCCGGUGUAGAGGUGAAAUUCGUAGAUAUCGGGAGGAACACCAGUGGCGAAGGCGGCUCUCUGGACAGAUACUGACGCUGAGGCGCGAAAGCGUGGGAAGCAAACAGG